AAAUGUGUGUUGAUGAUGAUUUCUAUGUGUAGGUUCCAAUACGGAGAGUUCAUUUGUUUCACGGAUCAUACAGUUUGCUUGUCUUGUCAUGCUUUGGCUCAUCAAGUCAUUCAGCCAAACGUCAAUACUCUUUCCUCUUAUGCUGGUGGUGAUGAUUGGUAUCAGAAAGUCGUUGGACUUUUGUUAUUCACUCAAAGAGAGCUAAAGAUCCUGGAUGAUGUGAUGCCAGAGACCAUCAAGAGGACAGAGGAAGAUGAGCAAGAGUUGGGUCCAGAGGAGGAAAAACAAGGGAUGGAAGAUAAUCUACAGAUUCCUCUAGCCAAUGGAAAUAUAAUGAAGAUUCCCCCUCACUUCAAUCAACAUAUCGGAGGAAGUUCCAAAGACUGGGAUUUGGAAACAAGUAAACAGCAACAAGAAUGAAAGGAAGAGAAGUUCGAUAAAACUGAAGAAGCGGAUGUUGUCGAAGGAGUCAUCUACGGACGAAGAGAGGACAAGACUGGCUCCUAUGGCCGAGAUGGAGGAAGAUGAUGGUCGAGUGACUAUCAAGGUGGGGACUGACCCCUAGCAGACGGACUGUGGACAAGGCGAAAAACCUGAAAACUCUGGAGCACAGAAGGGACUUCUACUCAGACAACGGAAAUGGAAAUGAGACCACAGUUUGAGAAGUGAUGUGAUUCUAUGACACCAAACCUUACAAAGUUAUAUUGUUGUUAUUGUAAUAUAAGAUAGGCUGUAAUUAUUUUAAAUGUUGAGUACUAUUGAUAUGAUGUUUUAAUGUAAUAUAACUAUGAAAACAAAAA